rnacentral:tRNA from 1 species
AAGUCAAUUAUGUUAAUGUUUUGAAAGCAUUAUUUAGGUUAAUAAACCUUUGAUUUU